GACAGAGGGGGCAAGCGUUGCUCGGAAUCACUGGGCGUAAAGGGCGCGUAGGCGGGGAUGGCAAGUCGGUCGUGAAAUCCUUCGGCUCAACCGAAGAACGUCGGCCGAUACUGCCGUUCUUGAGGGAUGCAGAGGAGAUUGGAAUUCCCGGUGUAGCGGUGAAAUGCGUAGAUAUCGGAAGGAACACCAGUGGCGAAAGCGGCUUCCUGGUCCAGCACCGACGUCAGGCACGGAAAGCGUGGGGAGCAAACAGGG
rnacentral:rRNA from 1 species